AACCGCCGUAUACGGAACCGUACGUACGGUGGUGUGAGAGGACGGGGGCGGUAACGCCCCCUCCUACUUAAU
rnacentral:ncRNA from 1 species